GACUGAGACACGGCCCAGACUCCUACGGGAGGCAGCAGUGGGAAUCUUCCGCAAUGGACGAAAGUCUGACGGAGCAACGCCGCGUGAGUGAUGAAGGCUUUCGGGUCGUAAAACUCUGUUGUUAGGGAAGAACAAGUGCUAGUUGAAUAAGCUGGCACCUUGACGGUACCUAACCAGAAAGCCACGGCUAACUACGUGCCAGCAGCCGCGGUAAUACGUAGGUGGCAAGCGUUAUCCGGAAUUAUUGGGCGUAAAGCGCGCGCAGGUGGUUUCUUAAGUCUGAUGUGAAAGCCCACGGCUCAACCGUGGAGGGUCAUUGGAAACUGGGAGACUUGAGUGCAGAAGAGGAAAGUGGAAUUCCAUGUGUAGCGGUGAAAUGCGUAGAGAUAUGGAGGAACACCAGUGGCGAAGGCGACUUUCUGGUCUGUAACUGACACUGAGGCGCGAAAGCGUGGGGAGCAAACAGGAUUAGAUACCCUGGUAGUCCACGCCGUAAACGAUGAGUGCUAAGUGUUAGAGGGUUUCCGCCCUUUAGUGCUGAAGUUAACGCAUUAAGCACUCCGCCUGGGGAGUACGGCCGCA
rnacentral:rRNA from 1 species